ACACGCGCGCACACACACACACACACACACAAAACAAUAAUUAUCAGCAGCCACGUUUGGAGGGGAUAUCCUGCUGGCCGGCCGCCACAGCGGCUCAAUAUCAGGUGUACGUGCAGGAACGGUCGCUCACAGCUUGUAGGGGGAACCUCUCAUCUGAGAAAAGCUCUGUCAGGCUUGACCCACCCAUUUUUUUUUUUUUUUCCACAGUACAUGGGUGAAGUCAUGUCUGAAAAGAUGGCCGAAAUGAGAAAAGAACAAGCACUGCUGUGGGUCACGUACGCACGGGGGGAGGUGUUUGAUUUCACAAAAAAUGAAACUCUAAAUUUAGAGGAAAAUGGCCACUGUGGAGGACGUGUAUCCAGUCUUCAGCAGGCCUUAAUGGUGAAGCCUGAAGUCAACAACCAGUCAAGUCGUUUGUGUGACAACUCGAUCAGUAAAACCUCAGAUAUGACACCAUGACUGUGACGUUUGUAAUUGCUAAUGACCACUCUGAGUAGAUUGUCUGUUUUUCUUGAAUGAAAGAGUUUGUUAUAUUAUCAGCAUAGCUAAUGCACUGCGCCCAUUAUACAAAACAGAUGUUUACACAGUUUAGGCUGAUGAAAAGGUCAAUGACUCGAUUCAUCACAGAGAUUUUAAUACUCAAGAAACAGAAAAGAUCUGGGAGAGGCCAGUCUGAUCAGCUGACUGUUCAAAAUGUGUGGUUACCCUGCAGCAGUUUAAACUCAAGUAAUUUUAUGCAUUUUAGUAAAAUAAUCAUUCUAUUUGAAUAACAUACUGUGUUUAGGAAAUAUGGGUGUAUGCACAUAGAUCCUGUGCACUGAUCAGAUUUAAUUUCUGAUUUUAAAACAAGCCUUCAUUAAAUCUCUUAAAUUCCCAUUAGCUCAUAGCGGAUUCAUGGUGAAUCAAAGAUAAAAGAAAACAUUGCUCUUAACCAAAGAAAACGAGCGAUAGAGCUCCAAAAAUAAUUAAGUUUUCAGAAUUUUUUAUGCUUUUUUGAUAAAUCCUCGGAUCAAUCACAGAAACUGCCCGAAACAUAUAAAAAUGCAACAAUCAAAAGAAAGAAAACUGUCCAGAAAGCUAGUUUGCAGGUUGAAUUUAGCAAAUUGAGGCAGAGAUGCUGUGGAGAUUUCCUGCUGUCUGGGCAUGUGUUUGGGAGGGUUACUUUAAAAAUGUGUUACAAUUACUGGUCAACUCUUACAAAAUUUAAACACUGACAGAAUCCAAGUAUCUCGAUAUUAACAAAACUGAAUUACAUUCUGUUAAGUUUGAAAUAACUGACUACCAAAUAUUCUAGUACAUCGUUCUCUGUUAACUGUGGUGGUAAUCUUCAUCCACAUCUUUUUUACCCUAAUUACGCAACCCAUUUCUGUGAAUUUCUGUUCCUCACUAUGCUUCCCACAGAAAAAUUCUACUGUCUGUCUGAAAGCAGUGACUUGAGGACCUGCUUAAUGAACCAUGUGAUUUUUUUGUGUGUUUUCUGCGAACAGCUUAUGUAAUAAAAGUCAUUUUUCAUGCUGUUCUACCCUUUAUAUAAACACCUAUUAUGUUUCUGAUGGUUUGAUUUGCAUGGGCAACUUGUGGUUGACAUGUUUUUCUGCUUUACAAUUUAAAGUUGAAUUGUUUUGUCAUAGCAAAACGGGAGUCAAGUCAAGGCUAGACCAUGAAGUGUGCUAAUUACUGAAAAAACAAUCAUCAAGAUUGUUUGAAUUAUAGACUGAAUGUUAUUGAAAAUGUCAAAGAAGGGAAAGAAAAAGCAGAAAGUGUUCUAUUAGGGGCUUCAUUGUUCCUGGAAUAUAAACAUUCAGCACAGCUGCACCACUGGACCUUGCUAACCCACCACUCCUGAGUUUCCUGAACAGGCAUGGACACACCCUCACAUGCACACACACACAGUAUUCACACAGAUGCGAGUAAGGUCAGCAGAGCUAUUUUUGGAAGAGGCGGUUAAUCGCUUUGCUGCACUGCCUCUAUAAAGCCUGGAAACGUGCUCCAAUCUGCUCAUACUCAGCUGCACAGACGAGACAUCACGCUGUUUUCCUCUGAAUGCCAGAACUACAACUGAAGCAUCAAAGUAUGAAAAGGAGGAGAUCGUUUCUUGCCCAGCCUCUCUUGCCCACCAUUACUGAGACGCUCGAGGACUUGCCCGCCCAUCCCUCCCAGUCCACCCAGGGCUCCCAGUCUCUGGAGGACUACAUGACCAGUAUCCAGGCUCUCGCCUGCCCUGCUGAGGCUCCAGGCUACGGCCCCGUCAGACUCCAGAGGUCCCCCGAAUGCGGCAGUUCUCAAAGGUUCAGAUGAAGCUCUCUGUCUCAGCCUCAGCGCCUCGGGGGUCUCCCCGCUCACUAAGGACUUCCAGACACUCCAGUCUGAAUCUGAACAGCCCAGAGGAUUUUUCUCUUAAGAUGUGCAGAGAACGAGACUCUAGGGGCAAAGACCCCGUGGACUGGCUGUUUGGACAGAUAAGGACUUGAAGAGUGAUGUUGUUGUGGUGGUGGUGAUGGAAGCCCUGCAGGUACUUUGGUGGAGUAAUCGAACAAGGCUGGAGGAACCUCAGGAGGAAAUACACUGCUGGCUUUUGGCUGGACAAAGACAUAAUAAUCAAAUGGAUCAUGAGAAAAGCCAAGAUCUAUUUAUUUUUAUGCACUACAGACUCAAGUCUGCAUGUUUACAUAGUUUAAUAUUUUGUAAAGAUAUGAUGGAUACCGUUUGUAAUAAAAUGCAAAAACAAUCUGAAAA